rnacentral:rRNA from 1 species
AUAAAUAACAAUACAGGGCUCUUCGAGUCUUGUAAUUGGAAUGAGUACAAUCUAAAGCCCUUAACGAGGAACAAUUGGAGGGAAAGUCUGGUGCCAGCAGCCGCGGUAAUUCCAGCUCCAAUAGCGUAUAUUAAAGUUGUUGCAGUUAAAAAGCUCGUAGUUGAAUUUUGGGCAUGGUGAAUCGGUCCAUCUAACGAUGAGCACUGGUUUGUCAGGCCCCACCUUCUGGAGGUCGUGCUUCUCUUUACGGGGUGGCAUGAUAUUCCAGGACGUUUACUUUGAAAAAAUUAGAGUGUUCAAAGCAAGCAUUCGCUUGAAUACAUUAGCAUGGAAUAAUAGAAUAGGACUUUGGUUUUAUUUUGUUGGUUUCUAGGACCGAAGUAAUGAUUAAUAGGGAUAGUUGGGGGCAUUAGUAUUUAAUUGCUAGAGGUGAAAUUCUUGGAUUUAUGAAAGACUAACUUCUGCGAAAGCAUUUGCCAAGGAUGUUUUCAUUAAUCAAGGACGAAAGUUAGGGGAUCGAAGACGAUUAGAUACCGUCGUAGUCUUAACCAUAAACUAUGCCGACUCAGGAUCGGUGGUACGUCUUUUUACGCGUCCAUCGGCACUGUAUGAGAAAUCAAAGUUUUUGGGUUCUGGGGGGAGUAUGGUCGCAAGGCUGAAACUUAAAGGAAUUGACGGAAGGGCACCACCAGGAGUGGAGCCUGCGGCUUAAUUUGACUCAACACGGGGAAACUCACCAGGCCAGAACAUAAGAAGGAUUGACAGAUUGAGAGCUCUUUCUUGAUUUUAUGGGUGGUGGUGCAUGGCCGUUCUUAGUUGGUGGAGUGAUUUGUCUGGUUAAUUCCGAUAACGAACGAGACCUUAUCCUGCUAAAUAGUCACGUCAAGUCUUUACUUGAUGGCUGACUUCUUAGAGGGACUGUUGCUGUUUAAGCAAUGGAAGUUUGAGGCAAUAACAGGUCUGUGAUGCCCUUAGAUGUUCUGGGCCGCACGCGCGCUACACUGAUGAAGUCAGCGAGUUCUUCCUUGCCCGAAAGGGUUGGGUAAUCUUGUGAAACUUCAUCGUGCUGGGGAUAGACCUUUGCAAUUAUUGGUCUUCAACGAGGAAUUCCUAGUAAGCGUGAGUCAUCAGCUCACGUUGAUUACGUCCCUGCCCUUUGUACACACCGCCCGUCGCUACUACCGAUUGAAUGGCUUAGUGAGGC